UACGAAGGGGGCUAGCGUUGUUCGGAAUCACUGGGCGUAAAGGGCGCGUAGGCGGCUUUGUAAGUCGGGGGUGAAAGCCUGUGGCUCAACCGCAGAAUUGCCUUCGAUACUGCAUGGCUUGAGACCGGAAGAGGUAAGUGGAACUGCGAGUGUAGAGGUGAAAUUCGUAGAUAUUCGCAAGAACACCAGUGGCGAAGGCGGCUCACUGGCCCGAUACUGACGCUGAGGUGCGAAAGCGUGGGGAGCAAACAGG
rnacentral:rRNA from 1 species